rnacentral:misc_RNA from 1 species
ACCGCAUUUCCGUAUCUCUAACUUGACAAAAGGAACUUCAGUUUAUGAUGAAUUCAAAUAUGGUUUUCCAUCCGAUGGCUUGUCUACUGCAACGUAUAGGUGGUGGGGAAACAAGAGUCCUGAUGGUAACCAGGAUAGCAAAUUGAAUGAUGACAAUGCCAAAAACAGCACGGAGCAAGCAGAAAAUGUAGCAGAGAAAACCGAAUGCCAGACAAGUGUGGAUUCCACAGGAACGACUUUACUGACUGAUGUGAGGAAACGAGCUGCCAAAGAGGGGAAAGAAACACUGAGGCUUGGAGUUCAUAGACGACGAAGUGCAAAGAUGCUUGAUUCAACAAAAAGGAAGAUUCUUCAUCAGGUAUUCAAAUCGUAUUUUCAUGUCCAUGGAGAUAUGAGUAGCAUGGAAUCAUGACAGAGGACCAAUAUUCGUCUUCUCUCGAUAUGAUGGAAUGAACAAUGAUCAUUGCAAGACUCACACGAAGAGGACAUGUUACAUCUAGGUUCCAGUGCUGUGUGUGAAAUUUACCAAGCAAUUAUAUAAGUUAUGUUUUCUACGGCUAUGACUGAGAUUAGAUUCUUGAACUUCCAUAGGCAAAAUUAGUCACCAAUAUAUGGAGUUUUAGCUUGAUCUUGAUUAUUUCUAGCUUAGAAGACAAAAUUAGUCACACUCUAUUGUAAUUUAUUGUUAAUUUCUUGCAAUAGUGAUUCGUCUAACUUGGGUCGUGAAUUUAGGUUUAAGUGAUCAUGAUUGUUAGAUAGAGAUUCAAAAUUUAAAUUUUAUGAGUUUUGAG